rnacentral:rRNA from 1 species
GUGGGCGGCGUCAUUGGCAUGCAGUCGAGCGAGAAGUUUACUUCGGUAAAUGGACAGCGGCGAAAGGGACAGUAAUGUGUAGGUACCUACCCUCUGAUCUGGGAUAGCUGCGGGAAACUGCAGGUAAUACCGGAUAAUGUCUUCGGACCAAAGGUGUGAUUCCGUCUGAGGAGGGGCCUGCAUCCUAUUAGCUUGUUGGUGAGGUAAUGGCUCACCAAGGCAACGAUGGGUAGCGGGUGUGAGAGCAUGACCCGCGUCAUUGGGACUGAGACACUGCCCAGACAUCUACGGAUGGCUGCAGUCGAGAAUCUUCGGCAAUGGGCGAAAGCCUGACCGAGCGACGCCGCGUGCGGGAUGAAGGCCCUCGGGUUGUAAACCGCUGUCGUUGGGAAGGAAAUGCAAGAGGGCUAUCCCUUUUGUUUGACCGAUCCAAGGAGGAAGUACGGGCUAAGUUCGUGCCAGCAGCCGCGGUAAC